rnacentral:rRNA from 1 species
CCUACGGGAGGCAGCAGUGAGGAAUAUUGGUCAAUGGCCGGAAGGCUGAACCAGCCAUGCCGCGUGAAGGUCAGUGCCCUAUGGGCGUUAAACUUCUUUUGUGCGGGAGCAAUAAUGGUCACGUGUGGCCAGACGAGAGUACCGUACGAAUAAGCAUAGGCUAACUCCGUGCCAGCAGCCGCGGUAAUACGGGGGAUGCAAGCGUUAUCCGGAUUUAUUGGGUUUAAAGGGUGCGUAGGCUGUGAGGUAAGUCAGCGGUGAAAUGCCCCCGCUCAACGGGGUGAAGUGCCAUUGAUACUGCCUUGCUGGAAUGCGGAUGCCGUGGGAGGAAUGUGUGGUGUAGCGGUGAAAUGCAUAGAUAUCACACAGAACACCGAUUGCGAAGGCAGCUCACGAAUCCGCGAUUGACGCUGAUGCACGAAAGCGUGGGUAUCAAACAGGAUUAGAUACCCCUGUAGUC